rnacentral:rRNA from 1 species
AUCGAUGAAGAACGCAGCGAAAUGCGAUAAGUAAUGUGAAUUGCAGAAUUCAGUGAAUCAUCGAAUCUUUGAACGCACAUUGCGCCCCCUGGUAUUCCGGGGGGCAUGCCCGUUCGAGCGUCAUUACACCACUCCAGCCUCGCUGGGUAUUGGGCGUCUUCGCGGGGGAGCAAUCCCCCGCGCGCCUCAAAGUCUCCGGCUGAGCGGUCCCGUCUCCCAGCGUUGUGGCAUCACGUCUCGCCGCGGAGUCUCGGGCCCUCACGGCCGUUAAAUCACACCUCAGGUUGACCUCGGAUCGGGUAGGGAUACCCGCUGAACUUAAGCAUAUCAAUAAGCGGAGGAAAAGAAACCAACAGGGAUUGCCCUAGUAACGGCGAGUGAAGCGGCAACAGCUCAAAUUUGAAAUCUGGCCCCCCGGCCCGAGUUGUAAUUUGUAGAGGAUGCUUCUGGGUAGCGACCGGUCUAAGUUCCUUGGAACAGGACGUCAUAGAGGGUGAGAAUCCCGUAUGCGACCGGCCCGCGCCCUCCACGUAGCUCCUUCGACGAGUCGAGUUGUUUGGGAAUGCAGCUCUAAAUGGGAGGUAAAUUUCUUCUAAAGCUAAAUACCGGCCAGAGACCGAUAGCGCACAAGUAGAGUGAUCGAAAGAUGAAAAGCACUUUGGAAAGAGAGUUAAAAAGCACGUGAAAUUGUUGAAAGGGAAGCGCUUACAACCAGACUUUGGGGCGGUGUUCCGCCGGUCUUCUGACCGGUCUACUCUCCGUCCCGAGGCCAACAUCAUCUGGGACCGCCGGACAAGACCUCAGGAAUGUGGCUCCCCUCGGGGAGUGUUAUAGCCUGUGGUGAUGCGGCGCGUCCCGGGUGAGGUCCGCGCUUCGGCAAGGAUGUUGGCGUAAUGGUUGUCAGCGGCCCGUCUUGAAACACGG